GCAGCGGGCGCGCGCCGUCCCGGGGAGGCGGCGGGGCUCGCGGUCCCCGAGGUUGAAGGGCCGGUAGCAGAUGUUGCAGUCCAGCUCGCCCCGCUCCGGAAGAGACGGCACCCUCACCAGGAGCUGCAUCGUGCCCGCCGCGGACUCGAGGGCGUCGCUAACGGAGCGGGCCUGUUCUGGGGCCCGCGCCGAGGCCUGUUGCCCCUUUUAAUAGUGAAAUCUCAGCCUAAGGAGGGCCCUAGAUUCCAGGACCGUGGCCUUAGGAAUGCUGGGAAUCCUAUCCUUCCUGAGUAGCCAGGCCUGGACACCCACACACCAUGAUGGCUCCAGCAACGCAGCCCAGCCUGAGCUCUGACUCGGGGGUGUGACUUCUGCUACAGUCUUCCAAAAUGAGUGGGAGAUGAUAGGAGUGGAU